rnacentral:lncRNA from 1 species
CCAUCUCGAGAGCACCGGCGGGAAACUCGGCCCGGGCAGGAGCCCGAGGAGGGGACGGGAGGGGACGGGAGGGGGGGGGGGGGGGGGGCGGGGAGGGGAGCGGAAGGGGGCGGCCGCCCGCGGAGCCCUAGGAGAGCCAGCUGCGGAAGCGCGCCGCCUUCCCCCGCGGGGCCGGAGCUCGCCCUGGGGCGCCCGGAGUCCCCGCGCCCCGCGAGCGCGCCCGGCUGCUCCGCGCACCUGCCUCGGGCCCCGCGCGGGGGUGAGCGGGGGGGUGAGCGGCGGGCGGGCGGGCGGGCCGCGCGCACAGGUGGCGGCGAUUGGGCAGGCGGGGCCGGCAGGGUGACGUCACGGGCUCGGGUCCCGGCGGCAGAAAUAGGGCAGCCGCGGCGGCGGCGGUACGGCAGCGGCGGCUCGCGGAGCUGGAGCCGAGGCAGCCUCCGGCGCGCCCGGGACCCGCCGACAGCCGCGGAGACCGACCGAGGGACGCGCGGCCGGGUCGCCGCCACCGCCGCCGCCGCCGCCGCCGCCACGGGCGCUCGCGUGGGCCGGCUACCUGGUCUCGCCGCGGCCCCGGCCACCUCAGGUACGCGGGCGCGGGGAGGGUGCCGAGCCGCCGCCGCCGCCGCCGCCAGCCGGUCCCGCCGCGCGCCGCUGGGGUCCGGGCGCCCGCGCCGCCCGCGCCCCCCGCGCCCCCCGCGCCGCCCCUCCCCGCAGGACCCGCGCGGGCGCUCGCCGGGAGAGCCAAGUUUGCCCGCCUGGCGGGCGGCGGGCUCGGGACCGCGGGACUCGGGCGCGCCCGGGCUCCCCGGCCCCGGCCAGGACUCGGGGGCGGGCUGGGGCGCGGAGGGGUGGCCGGGGCCGCAGCCGGUGCCAGGGCGAGCCGGCCGGCGCGCGCAGCGGAACCGCUCCGGGACCCCGCAGGCGCCGCUCCCCGCUCGGGCCCCCGGGCGGCCUCGGCGAGCCGCGCGCCCUUGGCCGGGCUGGGGUGCGGAGCGGGCGUCCUCGCUGCCUCCCCGCGCCGGCUUUGCGGGCAAACUUGCGUGUCCCCGCCGCAGCCGGAAGGGCCCGCUGCGCCCCGCCUGGCCGUCGCUCCCCCGAGGUCCGCCGCGUCCGCCCGCGGGGGCUCGGCGGAGGCUGAGGAGGGGGCCCCGGGGCGCGCCCUGCCCCCGCGAAGCCCGCGGCCCGGGUCCUUCCGAGGGAGCGACCUGGGCUUCCCGCUGCGGAGCCGCUAGGGAGCAGUUUGGGGGACGCUCGGGCAGGGAGCUUGGUCCUAAGGCAGCGCGUGCAGCGGGGGAUCUGCGCCCCCCUGCGCCCGCCUGCGCCCCCCUGCGCCCCCCUGCGCCAGCACAGGAGGCCUGCUUCAAGUUUGGGGGGCACCCGGGCGGCGCGGACCGAGCGCGGCGCUCGGGCUCCGGCCGUCGGGAGUGGGCGGCCGAGCGCGGCGCGAGCCUUCGGGGCCCUCUGGAGCGGACGGAGCGGCGCCCCGGGGUGCUCGCCCGCCGCCUGCCACCUGAGGACUUGGGCUCCCGCCCCUCUGGCAAGGGCAGACGCCCGCCGCAGGCGGCGACUCCGGCAGGUGCAGAGCGCGCGGGGCCCCGCGGGGCCGGACCCCGCCGGGCUGCGCCUCGCACCGCGGGUCGGGCCGCUGGCGCGCUGCAGCCGCCCUGGCUCCGGAGGACUGUCGCCGACAUUGAGGAAUCGCGCUCGGGUCGCUCCCUCCUCCGCUCUCCUCUAGGUGUCGCUUCCCCCGAGUGA